CACCCAUCCGCCCCCAAUCCCCGCAUCCUCUUCCUCUCUCUUGUCUCUCCCGUCUCUCUGUUCUUCCGAUCCGAAUCACAUGCACACCGUUCUCCACCGAGCCGUAGAUGACGCAACCUCCCCGUCGUUCUCAGCAGUACAUUCGUUCCCCAAAUCCCUGGUAGGGCUUGUUCGGUUGCAACGAAAUUGAAGGGGAUUGAAGUGGAUUGGGGUGGAUUAAAUCCCAUACAAGUCAAAAUCUCACUCAAUCCCCUCCAAACCUCUCCAAUCCCCUCCAGGAGAGGUUUAACCGAACAAGGCCGUAGGGAUCUUGCCGAGAUCCUCCUCCUUCAUCCCCACAUUGCUGAUGCAUCGUCACCGAUCCAGGAGUCUUCGUUGACUUUCAACAACCGAGCACAAGGAGGAGGUGAGGCUCACCAGCGGCAUGGCGAAGGUUGCUGCGGCAAGAUGUAUUGCGCCACACGAUGCUAAUCAUGCAUCGUUAGUUUCCUGACCAACCGCCAGAAGACAUUGCAUGUGCUUAACUCCACCACCAGCUCACUGAUAAGCUCGUAGCCGCUGUGUUUAACUCCACCAGGAUCGGGUCCUGCUCUACCUGCAGUUUUGGCCUCUAAUCCACCUUGCCGGAAUGUUGUCUCAGUUUGGGAAUGAGGCCAGCAGGGAUAGGCUCUCACGCCAUGGAGGAGGUGACUUACUAAGCGAUGUUGUAUCUCAACAUCACAUACGCAGGAAGCAUAGAAGAAGGUAGUAAGAUGCAGUAUGUCUUUCCACAAGGUCAUGGUGCCAGAGAUAAGGUGUUCGCACUUUCACUUGCAGUUCAUGUCACUGAGGUAGAUGGUGCAGUGCUUCAUGAUCACCAUGGAAGCAAAUCCUCCAUUUAGCCAAGACAAAUGUUUCGCCAUUGUGGAAACAUAUCCCCAUGUGUAUAGUUUAAAAUGUA